AGAGUUUGAUCCUGGCUCAGAGCGAACGCUGGCGGCAGGCCUAACACAUGCAAGUCGAACGGGCCCUUCGGGGUCAGUGGCAGACGGGUGAGUAACGCGUGGGAACGUGCCCUUCAGUUCGGGAUAACCCAGGGAAACUUGGGCUAAUACCGGAUACGUGCGAGAGCAGAAAGAUUCAUCGCUGAAGGAUCGGCCCGCGGUGUAUCAGCUUGUUGGUGGGGUAACGGCCUACCAAGGCUUUGACGCAUAGCUGGCGUGAGAGCGCGACCAGCCACACUGGGACUGAGACACGGCCCAGACUCCUACGGGAGGCAGCAGUGGGGAAUAUUGCACAAUGGGCGAAAGCCUGAUGCAGCGACGCCGCGUGAGGGAUGACGGCCUUCGGGUUGUAAACCUCUUUCGACAGGGACGAAGCGAAAGUGACGGUACCUGUAGAAGAAGCACCGGCUAACUACGUGCCAGCAGCCGCGGUAAUACGUAGGGUGCGAGCGUUGUCCGGAAUUAUUGGGCGUAAAGAGCUCGUAGGCGGUUUGUCGCGUCGACUGUGAAAACCUGGGGCUUAACUCUGGGCCUGCAGUCGAUACGGGCAGACUUGAGUUCGGUAGGGGAGACUGGAAUUCCUGGUGUAGCGGUGAAAUGCGCAGAUAUCAGGAGGAACACCGGUGGCGAAGGCGGGUCUCUGGGCCGAUACUGACGCUGAGGAGCGAAAGCGUGGGGAGCGAACAGGAUUAGAUACCCCAGUAGUCC
rnacentral:rRNA from 1 species